AUCAGAUCGAUUUGAUCGGAGAUUCUCUCUCCAAGUUUCUCUCUCCGACGCCAGCUUCCGAUUGCUCUUGGUCUCUCUACGACGAUCCCGUCCUCCAAGUCUCCCUUCAAAUCGAACAGUUGCCGAUCACCGCCGCGCUCUCCAAGUUCUUCUCCGACGUCCUCCUCAGAACCUUGCCGUCGACGUCGCAGACUUCGAGGCUCCAAAACGGCGUAGUUUCUGUUCCGGAAGCAGUGCGGUUCGGGUUUCAGAGUUCUACUUUCAAAAUGGUCGUCCACCACCUAAUGGACUUAAGAAACAAUAUCUUUCCAGAAUUGAUGAGCUUUUCAGCAGUCAUAUGGAUGGAUUGCAAAUGCAGGAAUUUAAGACGGUUACAAAGGAAGUAUGCAAGCUACCAACAUUUUUAUCUUCUGCUCUCUUUAGAGAGAUAGAUACUGGCUGCAGUGGGAUAGUGGCCAGGUCAAGUCUCUGAUUGAUGAUGCAUCGUCAUGUAUUUCUAUUGGUGCCCAAGGGAACUCUCUUAGUGCAAAUGCCGUUGGGAUCAACUCACUACCUUCCAUGUUUCAGGCUGGUAGUACACCCCCACUUCCACCGCGAAGUUCCUCCAGCUCUCCACGCUUUUCAACGCCGAAAACCGGCCCAUCUUCACUAGGCUCUCUUUUUAUUUACCUUUGUUAUCCAUCAGCAUUGUGAAACAUUUUUUACAUGGUUCUUGUAAGACUGAGAAUUUCACCUUUUUUUAUUCUUCUAGCUUCGAAUUUCUUCAUAAAUCUCAUUUAUCAUCA